AGCCAGUCAGCCAAUAAGGCUGGUCGCUGCCUCCCAACAAAUUGGACCAGGUGUCUUUGAAGGACAGAGAAGAACAGUUUGCUAAUCUCAAAUAGCUUCUCUGCAGAAGACGAGAUUGGAUAAUUGCACACAACAGAGAGAACAGCCAUUCUCCGAACUGAGGUUGAGAUCCAAUUGCAUGGGGCCAUUGUCCCUGGAGAGGGCUGUGCUCACAGCUGCCAUGAAAAAGAGGGUGAGAACACACCCAUGUGGUCUGAAUUAAGACACAUAAGACUUCCUUCCUUCCUUCCUUCCUUCAUUCCUUCAUGAAAAACUUCCCUGGCAGCCAGUACUCUGCUUGUUCUUCUCAACCAUCUCCAGAUCUGAAAUUCCACUUUGCUUUCCUUUGUUCCUUUAAUUUAAUAAGCAGAGGGUCUUAACAUUUUACAUCCAACUUGUAAUUAUUUAUCUCCACAAGAUAAAAUGAUGUCAUGCAUAUGUGUGUUUAUAUCCACAUGGUGUGUGAAGGUGAGAGGUUGACCUUGGACAUCUCCUCAAUCAUUUCUCCAUCUUGUUGAGUCACUGUCUCUCAAUGAAACACAAGCUUAGUCCUUCAGUUAAAAUUGUUGGCCAGUGAGCCUCCAGAAUCUACCUCUCUGCCCAUCCCCCUAAAUUGGAGUUGCAGGCAUAUCUAACCAUACCCAGCUUCUGCAAGGGUGCUGUGGAAUAUAAACUUGGGUCCACAUGCCUGUACACCAAGCACGUUGCUAACUAUCUGCCUAGCCAUCUGUGUGUGUUUCAUAAAUACAUUUUCAUGAUUAUUCGCCUACUCUACACAAAGGAGUUCAGUGAAUAACUUGGUGCUUAGAGAAACUUACUAAAUUAUCAAAACUCAUCUUCUUGUUAUGGCUUUCAAUUUCUCUGAGAAGCCCAUCUUAGUAGAUUCCAGUGAAAUAUUGUUGUAUAUUGACACUGUCUAAAGGCCUAUUCUAGAAAAUUAAGGGUAUUCUCUGUCUGUACUUUCUAUUCUUGUCACCACCAUUUGUAUGUGGUACUGAACAUACUGCUUAGAGUUUGGGCUCCUCAGAAGUGAGUCUUUUUGUUAAUCUUUAAAGAGUUGUUUUGUUUUAAAUAAAUUAAUGUUUAAUCUGCAUAUGUAUCUAUGUACCAUGUGUGUCUGGAUGCUUGGAAGUUAUUAGAUUAUUACAUCCACUAGGAUUGAAGUUACAGAAGGUUGUGAACUAACAUCUUGGUGCUUGAAAUCAAACAUGCAACAACUUCCUGAUCCCUGAGAACUUGAGUUUUCUCUUUUAGCAUGAAGGCUAGUUUAAAUUGUCAAUUUGACAUAAUAUAGAAUUAGCUUUAAGACUAUUCAGACAGUCUUAAUAUGUUAUUUGGAUCCUGUUGGCAUGUGUGCAUUUCUACAGGAGAGGGAAGAUCCAGUCCAUUAUGGGCAAUAGUAUUCCUUGGACUUGAAUUCUGAAUGUGUAAGAAUGGAGAACAGGAGUUAAAUAGUAGCAUAUAUGCCUUAAUUUCCCUCUGCUCUUGACUGUAAAGAUGACAUUCCUACUGUCUUGACCUCCUAUUCUGAACUUAUGAACCUUAACUUGUGAACUAAAAUCAACUGUUUCUACCCAGUUAUUAUUUUUGGCAUGGUAUUUUAAUCACAGCAAAAGAUAUGAAACUAGAAUGCAUAAUUUUAAUUAAUUAUAACUUAGAAUUGCUGCACACAGGUAGGGGUUACUGUAUUAUGGAGGCAAAGUUAAACAAUUAUUUAGCAUGCUAUGAGCAUGCUGGUCACUGGGAAAUGUUACCACAAAGCGAACUGUAAGCUAGAGACAUUGGAGUGGAAGACAAGUAGCCUGCAUUUAAAGCUUAUCCCCAGAUGAUGCCUGGUUUCUGGACUCUGCACGGGAAGUGAGCUUUCAUUUCUCACCAGAAAGAAUUCUCUAAGCUUAAUUUAUGUCUUUAGUCAGGAUGAAGUAUGUUGUGGACGAUUCUGAAGAAUCUAUUGUCAAAUGCUUUUAUUCUAAAAAUGGGAACAAAAUAAACAUCAGUGAUGACACUAUUAGCUAUUUCUUAUCAGUGAAACAAGGUAGUUAUUUGAAUCUACAUAGUUCAUACAUAACACAUAGUAGUCAAAGCCUAAACCACAUUUUAUUUUAUAAAAGCCCUUCAUUACAUAGAUGCUCCUCUGAAUCAGUGAGACUGUUCAGUGUCAAGGGCUUCUCACUAAAGCCUUAAAACCUGUUUAUAUCAAAGACCUACAGAAAGCCGUCCAAGAACUGACUCCUGCAGGUUUUCCUGUGUCCUACUCAUAUGGCCCGUAGCACCCCCUCUCCCAAACACAGCCACACAAACACAAAUACCAGCACACUCAAUAAUCGUGUCAGAUUCCCUGGGCAUGGAGUGCGAGGCAUUGUGUCCUGGCAUAAGCACUGGAACCCAAGAUCCUCCGCUAGAGCAGCCAGUGCACUUUACCACUGUUAUCUCUCCUGCUCCAGGUGCAACUUGUAUGACAGAAUCACACUGUGGGGUUGAGGUUAUGGAAUUCCCAAGAGCAUGCGAGUUGAAGAUGCUAUAUUAUCACACGCAAGCAUACCCACUAUAUCUACUGUCUUAUCUGUAUGAAACAGAGGCCAAGGAUUUCCUAUUGAUAGCAAAUCAACAAGGUAUUUCAUUAAGCACAUUAAAUCAAACCAAAAUAGACAAACCAGAUGAAUCAAACUGGGAAGCUUCUGCGCAGCAAGGGGGUAGAGAUAGAGUGAGAAGAAAAACACACAGAGUAGAAAAAGAAAACCUGAACACUACUCAUCUGAGCUAUAGUAUACUAAUGAGUUAAUAGGAGCCUAAUAAUAUCAUUAACGGCUCUGCUAAAUAAUCCUAUUAAAAAUGGGUAAGAUUGUAAAGUAGAGAGUUCCCAAAGGAAGGCAUUCUGAUGAAAAAAC
rnacentral:lncRNA from 1 species